GUGACUGACUCCUUCGCUCUCCCACUCUUCUUCGAAAAGCACCUUGGAUACCAGAAGAGUUGGAGGAAACGCAUACAACAGACCUGACAUCCAAUGAAGGAGAAAGGCAUUUCCCAAGGAGUGGUCGCCCACUCCGCAUCUCGAGAAGAACUGGAGGCACUCUUGUAUCUGGCCGUGACAGAGGUCUACCUGCAGGACUCCCCAACACUGAAAUAUGCAGUGGAAUAUAAUGGAAUCUAUGUCCCACUUGUGAUCCUCAGAGAAACAUCUGUUGAGGGUAUCUGCGAUGAUGUUCUGAAUGCCCAGAAGAAAUCCUAAGAGCUGAAGCCAGAAGGCCCUUCUGAUGACCACUACCAUAGAAACAGAGCGAGUAGCUGUGUCAGCGGCAUCCAGAGAGGCCUGCACAGAUGGUCUGGCAAGAAGCUGAUCCUCUGUAAUGAUUGCCUGGAACUAGCCCCUCUGCUGUGGUGGUAGAUGCUCAAUGAACGAAGUGAACUUUGAGUAGUUGGUGUGAUUAUAUUUCACCAUCCACACCUGAUAGUUAGCAAUUCUAAACUGCAGAGAUGUAAACAAAUAUGAUU